GUCCCUGGGCAAUAUAUCCUAUUUAGUUUGCAUUGUUCUGUAAUCAUCCAAAAAGGAAAUACAUGAAGCACCUAAUGCUUUCUCCAGAAACCUGGAGAAAUGACUUAGUAAAUACCAAAACCUGAAUGCAAUAGCCUUGCUUUCAAUUAUGCUGUCGUUGUUUUAGCUGUGAAGCAGCUAUAUUCUUUCCUAAUUUAAAAAAUAAUUUGAUAUGAUUCUUUACUUGUUUUUAGAUUCAAUUUCGGUUUGAAAUGUAAACUAUUUUAAUUGGGUUUGAAAUAUAAACCAUGAAAUAGGGGACACAGGAAACUGACUCUUUCCCAAUUGAUUCAAGUAUAUGUGCAGAUCAGUACUGCAUUUGUCCUUUCAGAAGCAGACCACUACCAAAUCUUUUUGAGCCAGAUGUCAGAGUAGGUUUCAACAUGGUACAUUAUAUGACCCCGCCAAAGUGUAUAGCCACAUUUCUACUUACAUAAAACACAACUUGAAUGUUUAUUUUCAAACUUCCCAUGCCUUUAAAAUUUGUGACUCUGUAGAAGCUAGUAUUUCAUUAAGGUUAUUUUAUACAUUUUCUUUCUCUGGAAGGACAAUUUGUUUAGGAAUUAACAAAACUGCUUCUAAAUUGGUAAUAUCUGUUUGGCAGAGGUUCUGAAUAAUACCAUCUCUAUGAAAUGAAAGAGAAAUGUUAAAUUAUCACUAUAAUACUAAAAAUCUAUUAAAGUUAUUACAUAACAUGAGUUCUAACCCCAAUUUUGUUUCAUUAGCACAACGGAAUUAUGAUCAUUAUAAAGCUCUUAAGCCAAAAGAAUAGAAACAAAGGUGAAAGAUUAUUGUAAUUAUAUUCUUAUAUAUUUUAAUCAAAGAAAUAUCUUAUUUUUUUAAUAAUGAAUCUUUUUUAAAUGAAAAAGGAAAUGUUACUUAAACCUCUUUCUUAGGAGUGUGUGCAUUCAAACACUUUAUAAGAUGCAGAUUAGAGCUACUGCUUUCAAAUGUAGUGUGCAUUUUUCUCCAAUAAUUUGCUCUAAGUGGAGCACUUCAGUCCACUUUGGGAAUAAAUGAAUCUACUCUUUUAGGAGAAGAAAUUUUGAUUCUUAAAUUGCAUCCAUAUAUUUUCAAUAUGGUUUUUAGGCAACCAGUAAAUAAAGGGAUUUUUUUUAAUGCGAUGGAGGUUAGACUGUGGCUUGUCAGGAUAUAUGGAUGUCACAACAAGGUACCUGUUACAGUUAUUGAUGACUUUUUAUCAUUACUUUCUCACCAGUAAAUAUUUUGCUCUCCUUCUUUCCUUCCUUUCUGUUUUCCUUCCUUCCUUUCUUCUUUCCUUCUUUUCUUCCUUCAUCUCUUUCCCCUUUCCUUCUCCUCUGAUUUGUAUGUCCUAGAAAGCAGCAAGGUUUAUAGCACAGUGUUUAAAAAUGCAGGGUUUACCAAUCACUGACCCAUACCUGAGGUGACUGUAGGUAGUACACACAUGCAAACUUUUUUAUUUUAAUGAAAAUAUAUUUCCUUACUAUGUAUUAGAAAAAUAUAAAGCUAGCGCAUCAAAAUUGAAAUUUUAUAGAUAUUAUUACUUCAAAUAGGGCUAACAUAGAGAUAUAACAAAACAUAAAAUAUGUUUUUAAUGUUUAAGUAAACAAUAGCAAGGGGGAUAAAGAGAUAUAGCAAAAUCUGGAUUUUGCAUACAUGGUUGUUAUUAUACAUGAAUAAGUUUGAGAUAUAACAUUGAACUGGGGUUCAGAAAGUUUGGGUUGUCAAACUGACUUUGCUACUAGCAAGGUAAGGGAUCUUGGGUAAGUCACUUCACCUCUAACGACUGUGUUACAAUUCCCUUACUUUAACACUCAGGUGGGAGUGGUGGAGGGCAGUCAUUGACGUGUUGGGUGGGUCAUUUGAAAGCAGAUAAUAAUUAGAAGUGCAAGAUAUUUAUUGGGAGUAACACCUGUGAAAGAUAAAAGGGAAAGGGACAAAAGUAGGCAGGGAGAGCUUCAGACCACAAUACAGGUCUAUACCAGUAAGAGAAGGGAAAAGGAAGCAAGUUUAAUAGGAAAAGCUUCAGACUGUAGUGUAGCACUCAUAAAAUCUUGGCCAACACAACUAGGAGAUCAGUGUAAAACAUAGCUCAUAGAGGAGUCCUAUGCUUCUUCCAAAUGGCAAGUCAUUGCAUCCUGACUUUGCUCAGUCAUUAGCUGGCAGCAGCCCAGAAAGCACACACAUUCCACUUGAAAACCGAGGCAGAUCUGAAGGUACCUGAAGCUGGAGGUUGUCAGUUAACUUAAUUCUUUGAGACAGGUUUUGCCUUAAAGGGCCAUCUGAGCCGUGCGUAAGAACAGCUAUCUCAGUUGGCCUACCAUGACUGUAAAGGCCUUUCCCAUUCUGUAAUUCCAACUGAGUCUCCUUAUUUCUACUGACAAACUUUUUUUAUUUUUUUCAUUUUUGUGGGUACAUGCUAGAUGUAUACUUCUGUGGCUUACAUGAGAUAUUUCGUACAGGCAUGCAAUGCGCAAUAACCACACCAGGAUAAAUAGGGUACCCAUCAUCUCAAGAAUUUAUCCUUUGCCUACUGACAAUCUUUUAGAUCAGCUUUUAUUGCAAUUUUGAGAUCCAGACCUGACAAAAAUUAAAGUCUGUGGAGUGAUAGAACUGAAAGAGAAAAUCACUAGGACAAGGUUGGGGAAAAGAAUGGCAAACUGAAUCCUAUACACACAACUCAGAAUUAUGAGACUUUGGGGGAAUGUCUACUACAAGAACAAGCAAAGUCUGUUCCUUUGAAAAGAAAGUAAUGUAUAGUAUCAUGUCAGUCUGAGUAAUGAAAAUGUGAUUUCCUUUACCAUGCUUUGAGUUGCCACCCUUUCUCUUCCUUUAGUGACCCUCUUUUCAUUUGAAUUCAGCCAUGUAAGUCCCUGUACUCUAUAUCAAAUUGUAUUUGGGCAAUAGAGAUAGGAGCUGCUGUUCAUCUCUGAUGAUAAUAAUAAUGAGACAAAUUAUCCCUACUAUGGUCCAUGGUUCCCAGUUUUCUCAAAGCAGAUAAAAAUUACCUCAAAUGCCUCCAUCAAAGACACACACACACAUACAGAAAGAGAGAGAGAGAGAGAGUAAACCAAAACUAUUUAGAAGUAAGUUGGAUGGUCAAGAAAAGGGGAAAUGGAAAUAAGAAGAUGUUUCCUUUCAAGAUGAGCCAGCUGGAUGUAAGCUGAGGAUGGAUAUCUAUAUACAGAAGAGUAAAGUCCCAUGUGAGUCUUGGUGUUACAAACACCACAAAACCACUGCUUUCUUCUACAAAUGUAGAGUCAAGAAUACUUAAGCUACUUAACUAAGCUUCCUGGAAUCACUUCCUGCAGUUCCCUUUGAUACUGAGCUCUGUCUAUCUGGCAAAGACUUCUUUGUACAUUUACAUGGAACGUCCCCUGGUAGCAAUCCUAAAGUGAGAAGACUUGGAUAUUCCAUGAAGGCUUUAACAAAGGCCUCUCAGAGGUCAAGAUGUACAUUUCAGAGUGGACAAUGAGCUGCAGAAAAUUCUAGCUUGUUGAAAUCCCAAAAAGAAACAGAAGAUUACACCAGGAGUACAACCCAGAGAUGUGAUCUACUCAGGCCAGAAGUGGACAUCCCAAUAGAGCAAGACUCUCUCUAACAUGGCGCUGUUUGUCAACGUUAGUCCCAGAGGUAGCCAUCAUGUGUACAAUCUGUCAGUCAAGCAGCCUCUCAAUCUCUCAUGGUAAGGUCCUGGAUCCAGAUGCUUUACCCUGCAUUGUCAGGCAUGUUGUGUAAAGUGAUCUAGUUUUUUUCAUAUAUGUCAGUAAUGAUAGCUCAGUUACUGUGUGUAGAACCCUAGAGUAAUAUUAGGAAUAGAUGCAAAGGCAGGAAGCAGUGUGGUAUAAUAAAAAAAUAAAAAUUAAAAAAAAAAAAAAUAAAGCACGAGGCUAGGAGGUAGGAGUCAGGUUUGAAUCCCAAGAAUUCAUCUAACUACCUGUAUGGCAAACCAAACCUCUCUGAACCUGAUUAUCAAUCUGUAAAAUGCAGAGGUAGACAAGAUCAGUAUUUCCCAAAAUGUACAUGAGAUGAUUUUAGAUACUACAUAGUAAAACUUCUCUUUUAACUUAUUAGUUUUGAAUGUGUAUUAAAUACAUAUUAGAAAAACAACUAUCCCAGCAAUUCUGUGAUUUUAUAGAUACCAUUCCUUAGAAUGAGGCUAAAGUAGAUAUGUAGAUAAAAGAAACUCAGUCAAUGUAAAUAAAAAUAUUAAGUAAAUUUAUAGUUCAGAUGGUCCACCUAUAUGGCAAAAACUGAAAAGGUGGUAUAUUAAUGACUAGAAUUUGGAAAAUAAACCACUGUCACUUCAAGAUCUACAUUUCUUCCCUCUUGGAGUUCAGUUUGGACCAGGGUAGGCCAGGAGUAAGGGUGUAGACCUAUCAUCUGGGUGAAUGCUGAGGACACAAACAGGGAAGCAAAACCAGAGCCCCAUUAUUCUUGGGGAUAUAAAGUUAAAAGGUAGACUAAAGCUUUAAAAUCAGUCCAAGCGGGCAAAAACCAAGAGAGAUAUGAGUAUUCUUAGUCAAGUUUUAAAUAGAGCUGGGGAUCUGAAGGAUCAAUCAAAAACAGCCUAGCAGAUUAGACAGGGCAAAUUGGAUCUGGAUUGAAUGAUCCAACAACAGAUGUUCAUCACUCCCCAUAUAAGACCAAAAACAAAAACAAGACAAAACAAAAACCCACAAACAAUUGAAGUGCCCAUGGGAGAACAUGAGCCAUAGCAGGGCUCAUUCAGUGUUGCACCAGUUAACCACUGCCUUAGAAGACC